CAGCAACCGAGGCCCUCAGGCUGAUGGACAAGGACAGGUUGCGAAUGAGACGUAGUCUGGGUACCCCGGUGAAGCGGGGCUUCUCAUUCAAAACAUCAAAGCAGUCAGUGUUUUUGCAGUGUUUGUUCGUUCCCACUUGUGUGCCUGUGCAUUGAGAUGCAGAAGUUGGAGAUGAAGUGGAGGUCAGAUGCUGGCGUAGCAAACCUCCUGCUUUGCUGUUGGACUUGCUGCUGAAUCCCAACAGCAGAGCAUGGAUGCACUAAACAAAGCGGCUGAAUACCAGUGCUGACUAGUGUAGGGAUCAAUAUUUGAGCUUUUAAAAAAAAGUGCUGGAGGAAGACUAUACCAAGACAAAGCAGAUAGCCCAGGCAACUAAAAGUGUCGUUAAAUUUCAUUACCACUGUCUGAUGUGAUGAAGCAGGAUGAUACUGUCAAUCAAACUGAUUGCCACUGAGAGCUGAAUGCAAUAUGGAAGGAAAGUAGAUUGUGGAUCCAUUCAUUGAAGGAUUUCAAAAGCACAGGCUCUUCCUGAAUGAUCUGGAACUUGAAAAGACUAACUGGGAAAUCUCUAUCACACACUAAAAUGAUGCCUUCCUAACAGACUUUUGUGUAAUCUUUGGAAGGUCAGAAUGGAUUAAGAUUCCAACAUGUUCUUCUCAACCCAACUGUUCACCAGAUGUCAUCCAUCUGCUUCAAUAAAUGAGAAAAGAACACAAGCCCAUAAACUGUAAUAUGUUAAUUGGUAGUUGGUGUUUGAGUAGUCUGCAAUGCAGCUGCAUCAACGUCUUUGUUCACCUUUUCUCUAUUUAAAACAUUUCUUUGUCCACUUCUGAGAAAGGUGUCGCCAAAAAUGUUUCUGAAACCAUGGUCUUCUCUGGUCAUUGCAUUCAAUUUUGAUACAACAAUCACACUGUGUUCUGAAAAUUCUCCUUCCAUAUUAAGACACCUUAAAAUAUUACUAUAGUGUGCAAUCAAGUUUUAAACUGGUGUAUAAAUAGUAAAUUAUAUUUAACAUAAGAACAUAAGAAAUAGGAGCAAGAGUAGGCCAUCUGGCCCGUCAAGCCUGCUCCACCAUUCAAUAAGAUCAUGGCUGAUCUGGCCGUGGACUCAGCUCUACCUACCUGCCUUUUCCCCAUAACCCUUAAUUCCCCUACUAUGCAAAAAUCUAUCUGUGUCUUAAAUAUAUGUAAUGAGGUAGCCUCCACUGCUUCCCUGGGCAGAGCAUUCCACAGGUUCACAACUCUCUGGGAAAGGUAGUUUCUCCUCAUCUCCGUCCUAAAUCUACUCCCCUGAAUCUUGAGGCUAUGUUCCCUAGUUUUAGUCUCACCUGCCAGUGGAAACAAUCUUCCUGCCUCUAUCAUUCUGAUUACAAAAUAAGAAUUAGUAGUCCGACCAUACAACAGCUGAUUUUUGUGUACCCUCUGGUCCUUUGCCAAUAUCUUUCCAUUGUAUUUGAGGUAGCAGCCAAGAGAAAGGAGUGGGGAUGUAAAGAGUGGCAGAAGAGCAGUGGCGGAGCCGGAGAUGAACAAGACUGCCAGGGACAUAAUAAUCAGCAAGAGAAAGUUGAACAGUAAUAUAAGGAGCCAUGAAAGAAUGGCCUUGUUAUUGAAAAAAAACUUUAGAGUUAGGAUAAUCCUAAUACAGAACUUCCACAGAUAAAAAUCUCAAAAUCGUUAACUGAGGUACACUUGUUGGGUCAACUGAUGAGAGAGUUACAUGCUUGGCUCAAAGAAUGUGUGCAGGACAAGAGAAUCAAUUCAUAGGACAUUGAUGUCGGUUCUGGAGAAAGGGGGAGUUGUUCCAUUGGGAUGAAUGCUGCUUAAACUGAACUGGGACCAAUGUCCUGGCCAAUCAAAUGACAAGGGCUUUAAACCAACAAUGAUAAUCUGGGGGAUUCAGGUGAGGGAAAGUUUAUAAACUUAAAACGUCAAGAUCACAGAGCAAAUUAACAAUCUGCAUGACAAUAAGCAGAGCUUGACCAGAAGAGACAGUGAGUAACGGAAAAGCUUGUAGCAAUCAUGUCUUCCUUUCAGUCUUUAGGCCAGGGCAAUAAUUAAACCAAGACCUGGAAAAAUAUGUAUAUUACUUUAAUAACAUUUUAACUUUAACUAGGUAAACUAGUUAGUUAAUAAAACAAAUCUAUUGUGAAUAAAAAUCUUACCUAAUAAAAUAUAUAAACAAGGUUUGCAAGGGAAAUGGUGUGUGGAGUUAGUGGAGCCCAGCACUGAGUGAGUAAAUCUGCAUCUUGAGAAACUUCAGUUUAGAACUGUUGACCUGGCCUCUGAGCAGCAAACUGCAAUUCAUUAGUGAGGGCUUAGAGUUUGAGCCUGAAGGCUUACACAUCUGUUAGGUUAGAAAAAAGUGUGGAUUUGGUUAGUGGUCAAGGAGAGGAGAACAGAAUUUUACAGAUAUAUUUUAUAAACGUGAAGAGAAAAGUUAAGACCAUGGACUAGUGUAAGCAGGACAGGGUAAUGAGUGUAAGGUGCAAUGGUUCAUCAGUGAGCUCAUAAGAGGUCAUAAUGUGAUAGAGACACAAGAGACUGCAGUCUUGACCUGAAAUGUCAACUAUUUUCCUCCGCAGAUGCUGCCUGACCCAGAGUUCCUCCAGCAGUUUGUAUUUUUGCUCAUUAUAUGAUAUUUUUAAUGUUCAUGAUUGGUGUACUUCAGUACAAAACUAGAGCUUUGUGUUAAAUAAAAUGUUGAAGUCACAUAGGUAUGGAGUAAUUUUGUUAUGGUACAUCCGGAAACUAGAUUAAAAGCCAUGUUGGUAUGUAAAAAAAAAGAAAUACUGGAAGAACUAAGCCAGUCAAGCAGUAUCUGUGGAAAGAGAACAUUUCAGGGCAAAGACCCUCAGAAUUGGGGGAAGAGCAGAUGGGUGUC